rnacentral:tRNA from 1 species
GAUCCGCUAGCUCAACUGGCAGAGCAACUGACUCUUAAUCAGUAGGUUCAGGGUUCGAUUCCCUGGCGGAUCA